GACGAACGCUGGCGGCGUGCUUAACACAUGCAAGUCGAACGGAAAGGCCCUGCUUUUGUGGGGUGCUCGAGUGGCGAACGGGUGAGUAACACGUGAGUAACCUGCCCUUGACUUUGGGAUAACUUCAGGAAACUGGGGCUAAUACCGGAUAGGAGCUCCUGCUGCAUGGUGGGGGUUGGAAAGUUUCAGUGGUUGGGGAUGGACUCGCGGCUUAUCAGCUUGUUGGUGGGGUAGUGGCUUACCAAGGCUUUGACGGGUAGCCGGCCUGAGAGGGUGAGCGGCCACAUUGGGACUGAGAUACGGCCCAGACUCCUACGGUAUGCAGCAGUGGGGAAUAUUGCACAAUGGGCGGAAGCCUGAUGCAGCAACGCCGCGUGCGGGAUGACGGCCUUCGGGUUGUAGACCGCUUUCGCCUGUGACGAAGCAUGAGUGACGGUAAUGGGUAAAGAAGCACCGGCUAACUACGUG
rnacentral:rRNA from 1 species